rnacentral:rRNA from 1 species
UGGAGAGUUUGAUCCUGGCUCAGGACGAACGCUGGCGGCGUGCCUAAUACAUGCAAGUCGAGCGAGUCCCUUCGGGGGCUAGCGGCGGACGGGUGAGUAACACGUAGGCAACCUGCCUGUAAGACUGGGAUAACAUAGGGAAACUUAUGCUAAUACCAGAUAGGGUUUUGGAUCGCAUGAUCCGAAACGGAAAGAUGGCGCAAGCUAUCACUUACAGAUGGGCCUGCGGCGCAUUAGCUAGUUGGUGGGGUAACGGCCUACCAAGGCGACGAUGCGUAGCCGACCUGAGAGGGUGACCGGCCACACUGGGACUGAGACACGGCCCAGACUCCUACGGGAGGCAGCAGUAGGGAAUUUUCCACAAUGGACGAAAGUCUGAUGGAGCAACGCCGCGUGAACGAUGAAGG